GUGCCUAUGGUGCAAUGGCAGCACGUCUGACUGUGGCUCAGAAGGUUGUGGGUUCGAGACCCACUAGGCACC
rnacentral:tRNA from 1 species